GGUCGAUUGGCCUAGCGGUUACGGCGUCUGCUUUACAAGACUAUUCAAACUGAAUCCUCUCCAUCGCAGAAGAUCGCAGGUUCGAUCCCUGCAUCGAUCA